UACAGAGGUCCCGAGCGUUGUUCGGAUUCAUUGGGCGUAAAGGGUGCGUAGGCGGUUUUCUAAGUUUGAUGUGAAAUCCCGGGGCUUUAACCCUGGAAUUGCAUUGAAUACUGGGAGACUAGAGUACUGGAGAGGAAACUGGAAUUUACGGUGUAGCAGUGAAAUGCGUAGAGAUCGUAAGGAAGACCAGUGGCGAAGGCGAGUUUCUGGACAGUGACUGACGCUGAGACACGAAAGCGUGGGGAGCAAACAGG
rnacentral:rRNA from 1 species